AGAGUUUGAUUCUGGCUCAGAACGAACGCUGGCGGCGUGGAUAAGACAUGCAAGUCGAACGGGAGAAUUGCUAGCUUGCUAAUAAUUCUCUAGUGGCGCACGGGUGAGUAACACGUGAGUAACCUGCCCCCAAGAGUGGGAUAGCCCCGGGAAACUGGGAUUAAUACCGCAUAAAAUCGCAAGAUUAAAGCAGCAAUGCGCUUGGGGAUGGGCUCGCGUCCUAUUAGUUAGUUGGUGAGGUAACGGCUCACCAAGGCGAUGACGGGUAGCCGGUCUGAGAGGAUGUCCGGCCACACUGGAACUGAGACACGGUCCAGACACCUACGGGUGGCAGCAGUCGAGAAUCAUUCACAAUGGGGGAAACCCUGAUGGUGCGACGCCGCGUGGGGGAAUGAAGGUCUUCGGAUUGUAAACCCCUGUCAUGUGGGAGCAAAUUAAAAAGAUAGUACCACAAGAGGAAGAGACGGCUAACUCUGUGCCAGCAGCCGCGGUAAUACAGAGGUCUCAAGCGUUGUUCGGAAUCACUGGGCGUAAAGCGUGCGUAGGCGGUUUCGUAAGUCGUGUGUGAAAGGCGGGGGCUCAACCCCCGGACUGCACAUGAUACUGCGAGACUAGAGUAAUGGAGGGGGAACCGGAAUUCUCGGUGUAGCAGUGAAAUGCGUAGAUAUCGAGAGGAACACUCGUGGCGAAGGCGGGUUCCUGGACAUUAACUGACGCUGAGGCACGAAGGCCAGGGGAGCGAAAGGGAUUAGAUACCCCUGUAGUCCUGGCAGUAAACGGUGCACGCUUGGUGUGCGGGGAAUCGACCCCCUGCGUGCCGGAGCUAACGCGUUAAGCGUGCCGCCUGGGGAGUACGGUCGCAAGAUUAAAAC
rnacentral:rRNA from 1 species